GAUGAACGCUGGCGGCGUGCUUAACACAUGCAAGUCGAACGGAAAGGCUCCUGCUUGCAGGGGUACUCGAGUGGCGAACGGGUGAGUAACACGUGGGUGAUCUGCCCUGCACUUCGGGAUAAGCCUGGGAAACUGGGUCUAAUACCGGAUAGGACCAUCGUUUAGUGUCGGUGGUGGAAAGUUUUUUCGGUGUGGGAUGAGCUCGCGGCCUAUCAGCUUGUUGGUGGGGUAAUGGCCUACCAAGGCGUCGACGGGUAGCCGGCCUGAGAGGGCGUACGGCCACAUUGGGACUGAGAUACGGCCCAGACUCCUACGGGAGGCAGCAGUGGGGAAUAUUGCACAAUGGGCGCAAGCCUGAUGCAGCGACGCCGCGUGGGGGAUGACGGCCUUCGGGUUGUAAACUCCUUUCGCCAGGGACGAAGCGAAAGUGACGGUACCUGGAGAAGAAGCACCGGCUAACUACGUG
rnacentral:rRNA from 1 species